rnacentral:rRNA from 1 species
GAUGAACGCUGGCGGCGUGCCUAAUACAUGCAAGUCGAACGGAAAGGUACGGCUCUUGCGGGUUGGACGUGAGCGGAACAGGGGUGAAUAACGCGAGUAUACCCUACCUGUAUUAGGGGUAAAACUUGGGAAAACGGGCUCAAAUACGAUAGGAGAUCUUGAAGCACGGGGGGGGAUGGUAAAAUUCGGCGGUUGGGGCUGGUAUGGAGGGUUAUGCGCCUGAUGGGGGGGUAGGGGCUUACCAAGGCUUUGACGGGUAGCCGGCCUGGGCGGGUGACCGGCCACAUGGGGACUGAGAGACGGCCCAGACUCCUACGGGAGGCAGUAGUGGGGAAUAUUGCACAAUGGGCGGAAGCCUGAUGCAGCAACGCCGCGUGCGGGAUGACGGCUUUCGGGUUGUAAACCGCUUUCGCCGGUGACGAAGCGUGAGUGACGGUAAUGGGUAAAGAAGCACCGGCUAACUACGUG